rnacentral:lncRNA from 1 species
AAGGGCCGUUGGGCUUGAUCUAAGGAUGAACGUUCUUCAAGGGCCGUGGACUUGAUCUUGAAGGUGGAUUUGAGCGGAUCUUCAAGGGGCUUUUGGUCUUGAUCUUUGAAGAACAGUGAUGAACGGAUCUCCAAGGGCUUUUGGGCUUGAUCUUGAAGAACGGUUGGACGUGUGGAUUUGUUGAUGUUGUUGAUCCAAGGGGCCGUCGGGGCUUGAUCUUGGAAGAACGAUGAACGAAGAACGAAGAACACUUUCUUCAAGGGCUGUGGACUUGAUCUUGAAGGUGGAUUUGAGCGGAUCUUCAAGGGGCUUUUGGGCUUGAUCUUUGAAGAAC